GACGAACGCUGGCGGCGUGCUUAACACAUGCAAGUCGAACGGAAAGGCCCUGCUUUUGUGGGGUUCUCGCGUGGCGAGCGGGUGUGUAACACGUGAGUAUCCUGCCCUUGACUUUCGGAUAACUUCAGGAAACUGGGGCUAAUACCGGAUAGGAGCUCCUGCUGCAUGGGGGGCGUUGGAAAGUUUCGGCUGUUGGGGAUGUACUCGCGGCUUAUCAGCUUGUUGGUGGGGUAGUUGCUUACCAAGGCUUUGACGGGUAGCCGGCCUGGGAGGUGGAACGGCGUCCAUGGGACUGAGGGACGGCCCAGACUGGUACGGGAGGCAACAGUGGGGAAUAUUGCACAAUGGGGGGAAGCCUGAUGCAGCAACGCCGCGUGCGGGAUAACGGCCUACGGGGUGUAAACCGCUUUCGACUGUGACGAGGCGUGAUUGACGGUAAUGGGUAAAGAAGCACCGGCUAACUACGUG
rnacentral:rRNA from 1 species